GUGAGGCGCGUCUAGGGUUCCGCCGCAUCCGCGGGUCUGGUCCGAGAGACGCAGACGACCGGCACCGUCGCCAGUCGUUCCACGGCGGGGGAAAAGCCCGGGAGAC
rnacentral:sRNA from 2 species